GAUGAACGCUGGCUACAGGCUUAACACAUGCAAGUCGAGGGGAAACGACGGGGAAGCUUGCUUCCCCGGGCGUCGACCGGCGCACGGGUGAGUAACGCGUAUCCAACCUGCCUCUGACUGAGGGAUAACCUGUCGAAAGUCGGCCUAAUACCUCAUGGCAUCGUCUGCGGGCAUCCAACGACGAUUAAAGAUUUCAUCGGUCAGAGAUGGGGAUGCGUCUGAUUAGCUUGUUGGCGGGGUAACGGCCCACCAAGGCGACGAUCAGUAGGGGUUCUGAGAGGAAGGUCCCCCACAUUGGAACUGAGACACGGUCCAAACUCCUACGGGAGGCAGCAGUGAGGAAUAUUGGUCAAUGGGCGAGAGCCUGAACCAGCCAAGUAGCGUGCAGGAUGACGGCCCUAUGGGUUGUAAACUGCUUUUAGGCGGGGAUAAAGUGAGGGACGUGUCCUUCAUUGCAGGUACCGCAUGAAUAAGGACCGGCUAAUUCCGUG
rnacentral:rRNA from 1 species